GUCCCGCCGAAACGAACCCGGCUGGACACCCACUUGGUUCUUCGGCGUCCGAGGUCUGUGUGACGGUGUGGACUCACCGUGCGUGAGAGCUUCCACGUGGCAGGAGACAAAGGUCUGACCCCAGGCUCUUGAAAAGCCGCCCUCCUGUGAGUGAGCUCCGAUGGGACGCAGCCCUUCCCACGGCCCCCAGGACACAGCCAGGCCAUCGCGCUUCGAGGAGCAGCCAGCCUGAGCCCUCAACCCUGCCCCGUCCCGCCCCGCUGACCGGUUGCCCUGCCCCGAGUUUCCGGGGUCAGAUCCCUGCACAGGCUGGAGAGGACUUUUGUUUUAUUGAGAUGGAAUUCACACGUGAUGGACGGAUCGAGUUUAAAGUGCGCAGUCCAGCGGCAUUUAGCACGGUCACGGUGCGGCACAGCUAAGCACCUCUUUACCCGGUUCCGAAACCUCUUCAUCCACCCCAGGAGGAGCCCCGGCCCCGAGCCCGAGCCCCAGCCGCCGCCAACCUGCCUCUUGCCUC